CAACACCAGUGAGGAUGGGAACUGAG
rnacentral:piRNA from 1 species